AGUUUAGCUAAUGUUGCCCGUACCGUAAACCGACACAGGUGGGUGGGAUGAGUAUUCUAAGGCGCGUGGAAGAACUCUCUUUAAGGAACUCUGCAAAAUAGCACCGUAUCUUCGGUAUAAGGUGUGGUUCGCUUCGUAUUAGGAUUUACUCCGAAAGCGAAGAAACUUACAACAAAGAGUCCCUCCCGACUGUUUACCAAAAACACAGCACUCUGCUAACUCGUAAGAGGAUGUAUAGGGUGUGACGCCUGCCCGGUGCUCGAAGGUUAAUUGAUGGGGUUAGCAUUAGCGAAGCUCUUGAUCGAAGCCCGAGUAAACGGCGGCCGUAACUAUAACGGUCCUAAGGUAGCGAAAUUCCUUGUCGGUUAAAUACCGACCUGCAUGAAUGGCGUAACGAGAUGGGAGCUGUCUCAAAGAGGGAUCCAGUGAAAUUGUAGUGGAGGUGAAAAUUCCUCCUACCCGCGGCAAGACGGAAAGACCCCGUGGACCUUUACUACAGCUUGACACUGCUAUUUGGAUAAGAAUGUGCAGGAUAGGUGGGAGGCUUUGAGUAUAUGACGCCAGUUGUAUAUGAGCCAUUGUUGAGAUACCACUCUUUCUUAUUUGGGUAGCUAACCAGCUUGAGUUAUCCUCAAGUGGGACAAUGUCUGGUGGGUAGUUUGACUGGGGCGGUCGCCUCCCAAAUAAUAACGGAGGCUUACAAAGGUUGGCUCAGAACGGUUGGAAAUCGUUCGUAGAGUAUAAAGGUAUAAGCCAGCUUAACUGCAAGACAUACAAGUCAAGCAGAGACGAAAGUCGGUCUUAGUGAUCCGGUGGUUCUGUGUGGAAGGGCCAUCGCUCAAAGGAUAAAAGGUACCCCGGGGAUAACAGGCUGAUCUCCCCCAAGAGCUCACAUCGACGGGGAGGUUUGGCACCUCGAUGUCGGCUCAUCGCAUCCUGGGGCUGGAGCAGGUCCCAAGGGUAUGGCUGUUCGCCAUUUAAAGCGGUACGCGAGCUGGGUUCAGAACGUCGUGAGACAGUUCGGUCCCUAUCUGCCGUGGGCGUAAGAAGAUUGAAGAGAUUUGACCCUAGUACGAGAGGACCGGGUUGAACAAACCACUGGUGUAGCUGUUGUUCUGCCAAGAGCAUCGCAGCGUAGCUAAGUUUGGAAAGGAUAAACGCUGAAAGCAUCUAAGCGUGAAGCCAACUCUAAGAUGAAUCUUCUCUAAGCUCUCUAGAAGACUACUAGUUUGAUAGGCUGGGUGUGUAAUGGAUGAAAGUCCUUUAGCUGACCAGUACUAAUAGAGCGUUUGGCUUAUCUUU
rnacentral:rRNA from 1 species